rnacentral:rRNA from 1 species
UACAUGUGGGGCAAGCGUUGUUCGGAAUUACUGGGCGUAAAGCGCGUGUAGGCGGCUCUGCAAGUCGGGUGUGAAAUCCCACGGCUCAACCAUGGAAGUGCACUCGAAACUGCAGGGCUAGAGUCCUGGAGAGGAAGGUGGAAUGCUUGGUGUAGAGGUGAAAUUCGUAGAUAUCAAGCGGAACACCGGUGGCGAAGGCGGCCUUCUGGACAGUGACUGACGCUGAGACGCGAAAGCGUGGGGAGCAAACAGG